CAGGACUAUCCCAAGAGAGCCAGGGAGAAGCAGAGCUGCACCAUGUGGCCUCAUCAGCAAGUGCUGAGUCAUCCCUCCUCCCCUUUCUCUWCUUCCUAGGUAAGGUCAAGGGCAGGACACACCAGGUCCCACCCCUAAGAGUCCAAUAUCUCAAGCUCUGUAGCCCAGAAAUUUUCCAACUCUGCUAAUUCAGUAUUGUGACUAACAGCCCAGUUAGAAAGUGGUGGGUUCCAAUCUAAGAUCCCCCUUUAUGAAGCCUUAUGACUUUGAGUAAAGGUCUUAUCCUACAUAAAUUGUCCCCAUAUUUCAGAUGGCUAAGCAGAAAUAAGAAUAGAAACUAUACAUGGGCUGUUGUGAAAAUGGAAGAAUGGAUUGAACAUGGUCGGUGCCCAAAGAAUGAUAGCYGGGGAUGGACCAACAGAGAGUGUUCUCCAUCCAAGGGGAAAUCCUGGCAAAUUGCUGGCCUGAGGCUUGAGUUGUGAGAUACUACAGCAUCUGCCUGCCCACCGAUGAGCCUUGAGGUCUACGGUAUUGCACAAUUCUGGGCUCUGUGGGAAG
rnacentral:lncRNA from 1 species